AACGACUUCGUUUUCUAGGUUUCAAGCCCAACGAGCUUUCUUCGGAGUUUUUUUCUCCUCUGUUAAAUAGCAAGUCGCGGCAAGCACUUUAUCGUAAGAUUUGCAGCCGCUUUUCCCAGUAUCCAUUUGCACUGCCAAUCCGACUCGUGAAGAUAGGGAUCCGAAUCCGCUCAUCUCCAAAUACAAUCAAAAUUAUAUCUGACCGCUAAACCGUCCUUUUUUCUCAGAAUUCCUACCUCACCUCCGAUCUCCUCAACAUGGGAGACUACAACGAUGCUUUCAUGCGCAACCAAAACGCCGCCGUUCAGGCACGCACCAAGGCCCAGAACCGCGCCAAUGUUCUUCAGCUUAAACUGAUUGGGCAGAGCCAUCCAACUGGGUUAACAGCGAACCUUCUGAAGCUCUUUGAGCCUCGACCUCCUUUGGAGUUCAAACCACCUCCGGAGAAAAGAAAAUGCCCUCCAUAUACAGGUAUGGCACAGUUUGUGAGUCACUUUGCUGAGCCAGGUGAUCCUGAGUAUGCUCCACCUGUCCCGACAGUUGAAACACCUGUGGAAAGAAGAGCAAGAAUACAUAGGCUACGAUUGGAAAAUGGUGCAGAAAAGGCUGCCGAGGAGCUCAAGAAAUAUGAUCCAAAUAAUGACCCAAAUAUAACUGGAGAUCCAUUCAAGACUUUGUUCGUUGCUAGACUUAGUUAUGACGCAAUUGAGAGUAAAGUUAAAAGGGAUUUUGAAUCUUUUGGACCAAUUAAACGGGUAGGUAAAUUUAAAGCAUCCCCAAACAGGUUUGGUAAGAGGUUAUGUGGCAGCUUGCUCUUUCAGUUCUGUGGUAAAAUGUUGACUUUUUACCCGAAAAUUUUCUAUGUUUAAAGAACAUACACCUCUUUAAAAUUCUUAUCUUUUACUCUUAACUGAGUUUAUUUGUGUAAAAAGUACCAUUUGUGUGUUCCCUGAUCUUUGCUGACUCUUACCUUGUAUCUAAUAUUAUAAAAAACUUUAGAAAAUUGUUUUUCUCCUUGAAUUUGAAAUUUACUAUUGAAUUUCUAUACAAAAAGUUGACUGUAAUGCUUUAAUGUCACCAACAUGUGGAAAUGGUAAGUUUAUCUGGUGAUGUGCUUUCCUCAACAUCUGUGUAAAUUGUAAGGGGAAAUAGUUGAGUAUCUCCCUGCUCUGUGAUAUAUUAUGGUGGUGUGCGAAUACAAGUUGGAAAUAAUAACACAGGUAUCAUCAAAAAGGUUUCUUUCGUUCACCCUCUGAUAACUUUUCUAAUAUAGUUGGGUUCUUUGGGACAUGGGUGUUCUUCAACUUUCUAGGUAUUGUUCUAGUAUUUAAGGGUCAUCAUCUAAAGGGAUCCCUGGUAAGCAGACUGAUCUCCCUCUUUCAAAAAAAAGAAAAAAAACUUUUGGUUCCCCUAUUCUCUUGGUAUCCAUACCAAAAAUGAUGCUUCAUCCUCCAUGGCAAAGCUGAAAAUUUUUAAUUGAGCAGAGCAAUGAUGCAUUUUGCCUAUUGGCCCUAGUUUCAAGCAACAAAAGGAGACCGACGAAUGUUCUUUUUCCUGCACUGGGUAAUAAAUGUCGGGAGUAUUAGCAUCUCUUUCUCUUUGAUUUGAAUUCUUAGUCCAUAUUUCUGCUACUAAAAAUGUUACUUCUGGCUUUAUGGCUGUCCAAAAUGGAUCAGCAGUUGAGAAGAUAUUCUGGUAUUUUUUUAUAUUAUUUGCAACUAUCUUGUCAUGUUUUUAAAAAUAUUCCCUGGUAAGGGGUGGUUAAUCUGUUCAACAAAUGGUAUAUUUGCAACGAUACAUCAGUUUUUCUGCAACUCUACCAGUGGUGGUGAUGCAUCUCGCAAUGGGAAGCCUGUAAUUAAAAGGUUCGGUUGGUUACUGAUAAAGUGACAAAAAAACCCAAAGGCUAUGCCUUCAUUGAGUACUUGCACACUCGGGAUAUGAAAGCUGCAUAUAAACAAGCUGAUGGGAAAAAGGUUGAAAA